rfam:Cricetulus griseus cell line CHO-K1, whole genome shotgun sequence.
GCAUAUGAAGGCAAUCUGGCUGAUACAUCUUCAGUGAUCUGGAGGUCUCAGAAGGUAUUCCCUUCUUCCUCACCAAUCCAUGUGCAUCUCUGCCUGACAGAGGAGCACUGAUCUUCGUUCAAAGACAUACAAAUGGCUACCCUCCUCAGCUAGAAUCAACAAGCAAGUUCUCAAGAGGUAUUAAUAGAAUAAUCAAUUAAUUGGAUACUAUUAGUGUCCAUUGCUAGAUUAUCUAUUUUCAU